CGUCCAUGAUCUGCGGGCAGAUGAAAUGCACAUGGCAAUCGAUGCCGCCCGCCGUGACGAUCUUGCCGUUGCCCGCGAUUACCUCGGUGGACGGGCCGAUCACGAGAUCCGGAUGUACCCCGUCCAUGGUGUCCGGGUUGCCGGCCUUCCCGAGGGCUACGAUCCGGCCGUCACGAAUACCCAGGUCCGCCUUGAUGAUCCCCCAGUGAUCGAGCACCACGACACCGGUGAUGAUGGUGUCGGGAGAACCGUCGGCCCGGGUUGCGCGGCCUUGGCCCAUCGAUUCGCGGAUG
rnacentral:sRNA from 1 species